UUAACGCUGGCGGCGUGCCUAACACAUGCAAGUCGAACGAAUAAUCUUCGGAUAUUAGUGGCGAACGGGUGAGUAAUGUACAGGUAAUGUACCUUCGUACUGCGAAUAACAAGCUGAAAAGUUUGCUAAUACGGAAUAGUUUCAUUAGGGGGCAUCCUUUGAUGAAUAAAGAUUUAUCGUGCGGAGAUCAGCCUGUAUCCUAUUAGUUAGUUGGUGGGGUAAUGGCCUACCAAGACGACGAUGGGUAACUGGUCUGAGAGGAUGAGCAGUCACAUUGGAACUGAGAUACGGUCCAAACUCCUACGGGAGGCAGCAGUGAGGAAUUUUGCGCAAUGGGGGAAACCCUGACGCAGCAACGCCGCGUGAGUGAAGACGGCCUUCGGGUUGUAAAGCUCUGUCGUGUAUGACGAGUAGGGACGGUAAUACACAAGGAAGCCUCGGCUAACUACGUGCCAGCCGCCGC
rnacentral:rRNA from 1 species